AAAUAAUUACCAUGUGUAGCGAAUUUUUUAAAAAGCAAAAUCAGUGCUUCUUAUUAAGAUGGUGCUUUGAGCUGUAAGAAUGCUAUUUUCAGAUUCCCUCAUGCCUCUGCUGCACAUUGCAUUGUGAAUUUGGCUUCAAGCAGACCAAGUCUUUUAGUCACAAGAGGGCACAACUACAGAAAUGGGUUAGACCGUGUUUUUCUUCUUCCUGUGACUGCAGAGAUGAAGGGAAUGAAGCACAAGAAGGAAGACAGGAAGAGACCCACUGACUCUCACGUUGUUGUCCUUGCCUGGAUAAGGAAGCAGAGAAACGUAAAGGAAUACAUUCACAAACACACGUACACAAAGACAGAGAGGUAAAUACAUAGACAAAGGCAUAGACUAGACUCAGGGAAAGUGGGAGAUUUACAGGGGCAGCCACACAAAGAGUGAGGGAGACAGGGAAAGAAACACAUCACACACAGGUGCGAAGAGGAAGAGAAACACAGGGAAAAUGUCCAUACACGUGCACACACACAUACACACACCUCUCAUAUCAAGGAGAUGACAGUUGUUCUGGUGUGUUGACUGCUAAAUUCUUGGAUAUAGCAGGGUCAACAUACUGCUGGAGUCAAAUUGUGAGGUUGAAUUAUCUCUAUGAUCAAAUGGCAACAUUAAGAUUAUGUAUAUAAAGCUCCUCACACAGUGCCUGAUAAAGAAAAGUUAUUAAUUUUAAUAGAAUCUUCUUUUAGUGCAGAUAUUGGCAAAAUAACCCCUUUCCUGGAGUUUAUGUGACCUUACAGAAUUUUUUUUAUGUGACCUUAUGGAAUGUUUCCUUCCCAGGGUGGGUGUAUCUUGGCUCCAGAACCCUGUCAUCUAUCAGCAGGUCCCUACCCCUUU
rnacentral:lncRNA from 1 species